UACAGAGGUCCCAAGCGUUGUUCGGAUUCACUGGGCGUAAAGGGUGCGCAGGCGGCUGGUCAAGUCCGAUGUGAAAGCUCCCGGCUUAACUGGGAAAUUGCAUCGGAAACUGAUCGGCUGGAAGGUGGGAGAGGGUAGCGGAAUUCCCGGUGUAGUGGUGAAAUGCGUAGAUAUCGGGAGGAACACCAGUGGCGAAAGCGGCUACCUGGCCCAUUCUUGACGCUGAGGCGCGAAAGCUAGGGGAGCAAACGGG
rnacentral:rRNA from 1 species